GAGUUAUGUCAUGUUAUCGAUAUGUGAAUACAUAGCAUAUCAGAAGGCACACCCGGAGAACUGAAACAUCUUAGUACCCGGAGGAAGAGAAAGAAAAUUCGAUUCCCUUAGUAGCGGCGAGCGAAACGGGAAGAGCCCAAACCAACAAGCUUGCUUGUUGGGGUUGUAGGACACUCUAUACGGAGUUACAAAGGACGACAUUAGACGAAUCAUCUGGAAAGAUGAAUCAAAGAAGGUAAUAAUCCUGUAGUCGAAAAUGUUGUCUCUCUUGAGUGGAUCCUGAGUACGACGGAGCACGUGAAAUUCCGUCGGAAUCUGGGAGGACCAUCUCCUAAGGCUAAAUACUCUCUAGUGACCGAUAGUGAACCAGUACCGUGAGGGAAAGGUGAAAAGCACCCCGGAAGGGGAGUGAAAUAGAACCUGAAACCGUGUGCUUACAAGUAGUCAGAGCCCGUUAAUGGGUGAUGGCGUGCCUUUUGUAGAAUGAACCGGCGAGUUACGAUUUGAUGCAAGGUUAAGCAGUAAAUGUGGAGCCGUAGCGAAAGCGAGUCUGAAUAGGGCGUUUAGUAUUUGGUCGUAGACCCGAAACCAGGUGAUCUACCCUUGGUCAGGUUGAAGUUCAGGUAACACUGAAUGGAGGACCGAACCGACUUACGUUGAAAAGUGAGCGGAUGAACUGAGGGUAGCGGAGAAAUUCCAAUCGAACCUGGAGAUAGCUGGUUCUCUCCGAAAUAGCUUUAGGGCUAGCCUCAAGUGAUGAUUAUUGGAGGUAGAGCACUGUUUGGACGAGGGGCCCCUCUCGGGUUACCGAAUUCAGACAAACUCCGAAUGCCAAUUAAUUUAACUUGGGAGUCAGAACAUGGGUGAUAAGGUCCGUGUUCGAAAGGGAAACAGCCCAGACCACCAGCUAAGGUCCCAAAAUAUAUGUUAAGUGGAAAAGGAUGUGGCGUUGCCCAGACAACUAGGAUGUUGGCUUAGAAGCAGCCAUCAUUUAAAGAGUGCGUAAUAGCUCACUAGUCGAGUGACACUGCGCCGAAAAUGUACCGGGGCUAAACAUAUUACCGAAGCUGUGGAUUGUCCUUUGGACAAUGGUAGGAGAGCGUUCUAAGGGCGUUGAAGCAUGAUCGUAAGGACAUGUGGAGCGCUUAGAAGUGAGAAUGCCGGUGUGAGUAGCGAAAGACGGGUGAGAAUCCCGUCCACCGAUUGACUAAGGUUUCCAGAGGAAGGCUCGUCCGCUCUGGGUUAGUCGGGUCCUAAGCUGAGGCCGACAGGCGUAGGCGAUGGAUAACAGGUUGAUAUUCCUGUACCACCUAUAAUCGUUUUA
rnacentral:rRNA from 1 species